AGCCCAUUCCCAACGAGCCUCAUCCUCCAAAGGUGUCCUCUGAAAUAGGGGAGCAAAUCCCAGCUCAGCUCCAUCUCUCCUCCCAGUUUGGCCUGACUCCUCUGGCACAGGGAUGAAACACUCCACGGAAGGAGCACAGAGCCAGCAGUUUGCCCAGCAGGUUCUGCAAAUCUUGUUCUGGAGGACAGAAUCCAUUCCUGCCUGCAGCAGGUGACGAAGAGCAGGAGGAUUAGUAGCCCUUGUCAUGAGUAAACAAACUGAGCUGCCAGCGUAUGAGACCAUGUCUGCCAAACAGAUGAAUCCUGCUCCAAGGGCAGUGGGAGAAGUUACUGCUUGUACAGAAAUUGGUGGCACCAGGAAACAACUGCUGGUGAUUUUAGGCUCUGCUGGAACGGCAUGUGAAGGUUAUAGUCAUUCCUAGCCAAACCUGUGAAUUAGUGGCUGUUCUCCAGGUCCAAACUUCAGGCCGUAAUUCUGGCUGGCGCAGCAAAGUGCAAAGUUGACAAGAUGACAAAGCAACUGAAAACAGUCAAGUGCAGUGUUGGCUCAGCGGUGUCCUCCACGCCCAGAUCUUGCAACAGCGUCCAGCUCCUCCCUGGAAACCCAGCCCGUGUCUGGAUGUGUCUGUCAGGUCUCCAGCACCCCAACUGGCCGCUUCAGCUCAGUGUAGCUCUUC